rnacentral:ncRNA from 1 species
ACUUAUACAGGGUAGCAUAUUGGGCUACUGUUCCGCCUCAAGACCAAUCUUGAGACUAUAAGU